CAGGACGUCAUGAUGCCUGUCUGUUUUCUCAAUGAUAACUUGGCAGAAGAAGAGAGAGGCUGCCAGGUUCUCCUCGGGUGGUUACGUGAGUCACCGUCCAGGAAUCAUGGGCAAAUUCCACAGGGAAGAUAUUGUAAUUAUGCAAAGACAAGAUGAUCUGAAUCGGAGAAAGCAGACUAAGAGGGUCUGAGGACUAUUGACUGAUGGCCAGAUCCCAAAACUUGACUGGUGUCUCUCCACCUUGACGAUUGGAUGCAGCUUCUCUGGCUCUCUUUGCUUAUCUGUCCCCUUGGCAUGCCAGAAGGAUGAAUCAGUGCCAUCUUGUUGGGUGCUAGGAUGUUACCAGAGUCAAAGAUGUUUCUAAAGAGAGCCAAGGCCUAUUGAGAACCCGAGGAGGGAUCACUAUAGAUGUUAUUGGUAACUUUCCAGUAACUAUCCAAGAGGAACUUGUUAAUAUUCAAUCUACCAACCUGGUUCUCCCGCUUUUUUACUUAUUAACCUUGGAAUUGGACCCUUGAAGACUCACCACAAAGCAAAAGAACCAUAACAAUUUGACUAACUUUAAUCCUCUGAAAUCCAAUUUUGUUUUGUUCUUUUCAGACAAAUGCCUUCCAUGCUGUUUGUCACCAGUCCACAUGCCAGUUCAGGCAGCCAAGUGCUUUCUUUCCCCAGGGGUGAGACGUGUGAGCAACUAGCAAAGAGUAGAGGCAGCAUACCCAACAACUCUGAGGUUUGAAUAGAUCCUUUCUAAGCCCAAUUCUCUAAAUCCAGCUCUGCUUAGAAACAGCUCUCUGUUGCUUAUUCAUGUUUAAGCUCCACAGACUACUUUCAAGUCUUUAUUUUCUGGCUUCACCCAAAAUAUAAUAGUUAAUAUUGUUGAAACAUGUUCACUUGCACUUCCCUGGCCAAACCAAAGGGCAUAAAAAUGCUUACUAAGGUAGAUGGAAUGCAGAGAAGGCAAUGCCCUAAACUUUACUCGUGCUUAGCACCUGUAAAUCUAAUUAAACCUCCUCAACAAUAGGGAAAGGGAAGUAUCAUUAUCCCCAUUUCUGUAUUAAGGAAACUGAGGCACAGAGAAGUUGAGUGAUUUGCUCAGUUACACAGCUGGGGUUCAAAUUCAAGUGCUCUGAGUUCUCACCAUCAAGAUCUCUGCUUACCUACCUAUCUAUUCGACCUUAUUUCCAACUGCUGGCAUCCCAGAGCCAUGGCCAGUCAGGCUGGUCACCCACCACCCAUCUCCUAUACUCUGUUGGCUCACACUGCAAUCCCAGUGUCCAAGUCUUCAGCUCCCUCUUCACCUCCCAAGUCCCUUCUGAACAAAGAUGCAUUCUUCUUUCUCUUUGGGUUUGCCUAACACAGUGCUAAGUACAACACUGGCUCUCAUUAAGUAUCUUCUAAUGCAUUAAUUGACAUAAAAUUGCCUUAUGGAGACCUAGAAUGCCACUUUUCAAUUUGACAGAAAUUCAAAGAUUUAUGUAGCAAAGUUUUUCUUUCAGCUGAAGAAACUGCAAGCUUAUUUAUCCAUUCUUUAGACAGUCCCUAGAAAACAAUUUAGGGAAGUUUAUGGUGAGGUAGAACUUCAUAUAUGGGGAGCGGGAAGGAUGAGCAGGUAUAAAAUUAUAGUACUUGAAAAGCUACUGUAAACUUAAUUAUUAGGACUUUAUAGCUCUUAUGAGUCUCCACUACAUUUUGAUUUUCUGUCAAGAAAUUAAAAUUUCCAAUUAAAAAGAUAGGAAAACAAUCAAGGACCUGUAGGCAGGAGAUGUGUGAUCUCAUCUUGGAGCUGCUGCUACUGCUCCCUGAGUGACCUCUGGCAUAUUAUUUAACCAUUUUGGGCCUCAGUUCCCCAAAUGCAUGAGGAAGAGUUGAACCAAUCUCUGAGGUUCCUCCAGCUCCAAGCUUGCAAGUAUGACACAGGAUGUGAGAGAGAGCAAGAAUACUCAGCCUGGAGUGAGACUGGUUUUUUUGAAGGAUGCGAAAAAGAUGCUGGAGAGCUCAGGUACAGUUAGCCAAGUUUAUAUUUCUAAUCCCUGUAUACAGUUAAAGGUAGCUCAGGAAAAAAAAAUCCAUACAAAAAUGUGUUCAAACCUACGUUUUCUGGUGGCUCAUGCCUGUAAUUCCAGCACUUUGGGAGGCCAGGACAGGAGGAUCGCCUCAACCCAGGAUUUUGAGACCAGCCUAGGCAAUGUAUUGAGACCCCUGUCUCUACAAGGAAUAGAAAAAAUUAUCAGGGUAUGAUGGCUUGUGCCUAUUGUCCCAGCUACUCAGAAGGCUGAGGCAAGAAGAUUGCUUGAGCCCCAAAGUCAAGGCUGCAGUAAGCAGUGAUCGUGGCACUGCACCACAGCCUAGGUGACAGAGUGAGACCCCUGUCUUAAAUAAAUUAAAAAAAAACACACACCCACAAAAACCCUACACUUUCCAAAACUGUCCUUUUUUAUAUGAGAUAAAAUUAUUACACAUUUUAAUUAAUAAUAAAAUACUAUUAUUUGAGACAAAGUCUGGCUCUGUAGUCCAGGCUGGAGUACAGUGGCCUGAUCAUAGCUCACUGUAACCUCAAACUCCUGAGCUCAAGCCAUCCUCCACCUCAGACUCUAGAGUAGCUAGGACCACAGGUACAUCCCACCAUGCCCAGCUAUUUUUUAAGAUUUUUUUGUAGAGAUGAGGCCUCACUAUGUUGUCCAGGAUAGUCUCAAACUCCUAGACUUAAGCAGUCCUCCUGCUUUCACUUCCAGAGUUGCUGUAAUUACAGGCAUGAGCCGCUGCACCCAGCCCUCAAGAUGAAAUGAUCAACAACCAUGUGUGCCAGUAGCUUACCAUAUCAACCAAAAUGUUAUUAGUCAUUAUUCAUGUGUGCCUAAAACUUUCUAACACUCUGAAAUUGUUAUAUAGACCUAAUUUGAUAUGAAUGGAUCCAACCUAUUUUGCCUCGAUGUCUUCAACUCAUUCACAGCUUGAAUUAAAUCAUGAAGAAUGGAAGUCUACAGAGACUUGGGGGCUAGCAUCAGAAUGGGACUUUUUGCAUAUUUCCUAUCUAUAACUAACUGAGUAAACCUGUGUUCUUUUCCUUA